rfam:Kwoniella mangroviensis CBS 10435 unplaced genomic scaffold supercont2.5, whole genome shotgun sequence.
AUCUACGGUCAUAGAAGCUAGAAAACGCCACAUCCCGUUAGCUCUGCCAAACUUAAGCUGGCUGUCGCCUGGCUAGUACCAAGUUGGGGGACCACAUGGAAAUUCCAGGUACUGUAGUUU